GCUGAGAGUGUACCAUCUGUCUCGUCAGCACUGGGCUCUGCACUGUGGAAUAAACAUACAAAGAGUGAGAAUACAGCAAAUAGUUUAUCUAGCAUUCAGUGUGUGCCAAGCACUAUUUUAAAUGCUUUACAUAUAAGAACUAAUUUGAUCCUCACAGCAGCCACAGGAGUUGUUUUUUCAGGUAAGAAUGGUGUUCUGUGAAAGGAGUGGCUAGCUCAGCUCAAAGCUCAAACAAUUGCACAAGCGUUUCUUCUGUGAGACAAGCAUCACGUUUCAGCAAAAACGCCGUGUGUGUACUUCUAAGGUGCACAGAAAUGGGGACUCUGUGAGUGGAGGAAGUCAUCUCCCAAUCUAGGCUUGUGGAUCUGAAGAGGAGAUAGGAAUUCGUUUUAGGAUCUGGAUUCAGUAAAAUCUUACGUACAUAUUACAGCUGGUUGGAACUGCACAAGUCCACUUAUUCAAGGACUUUUUCCCACCCCUGCCGCCCUGAGACAGCAAGACCAAUCUCUUCUCUUCCUCCUCCUCCUUGGCCUACUCAGCAUGAAGAUGACAAGGAUGCAGACCUUUAUGAUGAUCCACUUCCGCCUAAUAAAUAGUAAAUGUAUUUUCUCUUCCUCAUGAUUUUCUUUUCUCUAGCUUACUUUAUUGUAUGAAUGCAGUACAUCAUACAUAUACAAAAUAUGUGUUAAUAGACUAUUGGUAAGGCUUCUGGUCAACAGUAGACUGUUAGUAGUUAAGUUUUGAGGAGUCAAAAGUUAUAUAUGAAUUUUUUUUAUUUCAAUAGGUUUUUGGGGAACAGGUGGUGUUUGAGUACACGAAUAAGUUCUUUAGUGGGGAUUUCUGAGAUUUUGGUGCACCCAUCACCCAAGCAGUGUACACUGUACCCAAUGUGUAGUCUUUUCUAUGGAUUUUGAAUUGUGGGGGAAUUGGCGCCCCUAAAUCCCUCAUUGUUCAAGGGUCAAGUGUUCUUUUUUAUAAGCAGAAU
rnacentral:lncRNA from 10 species